CAGUGACCACACAGCCGGUCACAAUUUAAGGUGUAAUGGGAAAAUCUGAACAAGAAGCUGAGUCACCAGAAUGUGGUUGUAACUGCUGCACCUUAUAAAUUGGAACAGGAAAAUUCAAACAAGAAGCUGGUGAAAAAGAAGCAUUUGAAAUGCAUGGAUAGAGAUAAGGAGGUCGCUGCCGCUGGACAGCAUGGCCUGGGAGAGCCGCCUGAGCCCAGAGAGAUGGCUGCUCUCCAGCCCUUGUUCUAGCAGGAUGGAGAGAGAAAAAAGAAGAGGGAAAAAAAACAUGCUAGCAUCUGAUGAAGUGGAAAACAAAGGUCUUGUCUGGACUCUUCUUACUGAGAAACAAGAGAGGCUACUCGGGCCAUUGUGUGAAUGAAUACGAAACAGAAAGAAGAAUGUGCAAGCCAAACUGGGAAAGUAAACAAGAGGAAAAAAGAGAGAGAGAGAGAGGGAGCGUUUUCUGGGACUUCUGACGAGAGAAACAUUUUUCAAUGUGUAUCGCAGCAUGGGAGUGAGUACAUGAGACAGAUUCUUUAGCACACAAUUAAGAGCUGCUAAAAUAUGGCAACAGCUCGCCUCCUCUUGUCAUCCUGGUAUAAUUAGAUUUUCACCUGCUGUUGGGACCAAAAAAAAGAAGGAGAAGAAGGAGAAGAAGAGGCUUGAUUCAUUGGACAACACAAAGAGGCACCUGACGCAGCAGCUCGCGGAUCCAUCCUGCUUCCCCCAGCAUGGCAAGAGUUUGAGAGUUAAAUUGAAAACGCUGGUGAAGGCUCGCCUGGAUGAGUUGCACAGUCUGCUUAGCACAUCAGCGUGGAAACAGAUGCUGCUUUGGGACAAUGUUGCUGUCAACAUGAGAAAACACAGGCAGAUGUACGUAAACUGUUAAUAUAGCACCAACUUAAUGCAAUGAUAACGCUGGGGAGAUGAUGUACACCCAAAGCAAUGAAACACCAGUCAGGGCUCAAAUGACACCUCUCCGACUGCUGGAAAAGCGAUCGCUGCGAAUGUGGAGUCAGGCCAUUUGAGGUGAUCUCAUAUGUCAGAAUGACAGGCUGAUAAUAAGUGGUACUAAUUUCUAAUGAGGAAUUAGCAACACAGCCAAUGAAGUCAAUGGGGCCACAUUUAAUAAUCACUGCAAACUAGCACUGUCGGCCAAUUUCUUUUUGUCUACAAGCGCACAGGAAGAAUUACGUUAUUGUCUAUUGACAAUCUGCGCUGUUGAGAAGGAACAGUAGUGAUGCCAAAAGCUCUGCAACUAGCAGCCAAGUCCACAGCAGCAGACAAUCUGGGCCCGCUGGAUUUAAGUGGAUACAUAUUCUACAUAAGUCGCAGCCUUUCCAAAAGAGCAUUAAGCUUAUUAAUCCUCCACACACACUCUCUUCAGGCUUGUCAAAUCCCAUUCAAACGGCACAGGAAACAAACGUGUAAACACAUCCAGUGUAGUGUGAAGGCUGUCAAACUCAAUGCAUGACUUCAGCUGCAGCCAGAGCUUAACGGGGAAACAGAAGCCGAGCCGCAGCAGGUUUUCGGUUGCUGCGUGGCCGGCUGUGGAACGCGAACUCUCUUGUGCACCCCUUGGAAACAUAAGAGCGCAUGCAAAAGUGGGCCAUUAAUGAUUCAUGCCUGCUUCAAUAAUCAUCUGACUGCAACUGUGGAGAGAGUCCCCGAUGAAAACAUCAACAACCGCAUCUCUUGUCAACGCCUAAUGAUGGAAUUAAAUGUGGGCAGGGUGUUUGAUAACACCAUCAGUCAUUCAUAAAGGCAGAGCCAGAAAUGCAAAUCAUAAACACACACGCACCAGCGUUCGGUCAAUGGGCAGCUAACCUACGCUUGGAUCGAAGCUUCAAUUGUAGGACGUGCCUGCCAAGCCCAUGCUGAGGGCCGGCAGUGUGCAUGGCCUGCUUAUUAUCAUGCGGAGCUCCUUUCUGAAGAACACCACUCUCCCUCAUGCCCUCAAAGCAUCAGGAUUAACAAGUCGGGGAGUCGAGGAAAGCUGAUAUUUUUCCUCGCUCCUUGCUAUUGUGAAAACUAUUCAAACGGUCAUUAUUAAAUCUAGGUCAAGCUCCUUAAAUGGAAAAAGCAAGGCCGUGAAGUGUGUGUUGGUGAGCUGCUGUGUGUUGAUGGACCUCACCCCUGGGCCAACUUGACAUCCAUUAUGUAAACAUUAAUGUUAGGGCCGGCUAGGCGAGCCAUGUUACGCGUGCUAUAAAACAAAAACCACGGUGCAGCCAGGCCACUUUUAAACACCACAUUGCACUGCUGAUGGAGGUCAUAUCAGGCCAGCAGCAGUUUCAAAACAAAGAGGAAACGAGAAGAGCAGCGGAGCAUGACAUUCAGCCUAAGAUUUUUCUAAAGUUCAAAACCAAGUCCUAGUUGGCUCCUCAGCUCUUUCAAACAGGUCAAACAACAUUACAAGCAACCUCAGGGUAGUCAAAAAAGCAACCCAUUACCAGUAGUACCUCUCAAACUGUCAUGGGAUUACUUUACUGUCUGAAAACCACACAAAUAUAGUUUAUUCUCUGAUUCUUGCAACUAAAAUUCAGAGAAAAUGCAAAGUAAAACUUUUUGAAAUUUUAAUAGUAAGUUAACAGGACAAUAAUCUACUUUUGACAUUAUGCUAUUAUUUGAAGUUGAAUAAAGUCAAAAUUAUAUGGGUCACUUACUUUCUGAAGUUAAAACACUGAAGCAUUUUUAACAGUGUAGGCCCUUUUACUUCAUAUUCCACAUCUGAAAUAUGAAACCUGAGUGUACUAUUAGAUUCUGAGCUCUGUUGAAUCCCUAAAGUAACUUUUUAUCUUUUGAGAAAUAUUGCUGAAGUUGAACCUUUUCGAUCCCUGAGCGAUGAUUGUCAUUUGUUACAAGCAGAGCUGAUUACUGUAAUGCUCUUUUUACUGGACUUCCUCAGAAAUCAAUACAUCUUCUACAACUCAAACACAAUGCAGCAGCACAGAUCCUAUCAAAAACAAAAAAAGAGGACAUUUCAAACCUGUUCUGAAAGAACUGCGCUGGCUGCCUAAGCAUAGAUUUUGAAGUUCUUUUACUAGUUUUUAAAUGUCUAAACAGCAUUAAAUGAACCUGUUUACCUGCAUCCCGCCUGUCUGUUUACCUUCCAACACAUGAUCUUAGAUCUGCAGGUCCUGGCCUAUUGUGAACACCUGUUUCUGGAGAUUUCACCUUUUAUUAGGCAGUCUAGCAAAAGUUCACAAUUAAGAGAUAUUUGAAAACGACUCUAAUUUAGCUUUUAGUUAAAAUUCUCUCUCUAUUUUUGUAGUUAAGUCUUUCCGUUAUUGCUUACUUUUUAUAGACUUCCAUUUAUAUAUUUAUUUUUU